AUUGAACGCUGGCGGCAUGCCUUACACAUGCAAGUCGAACGGCAGCACGGGUGCUUGCACCUGGUGGCGAGUGGCGAACGGGUGAGUAAUACAUCGGAACGUACCUUAUCGUGAGGGAUAACGCAGCGAAAGCUGUGCUAAUACCGCAUACGCCCUGAGGGGGAAAGCGGGGGAUCGCAAGACCUCGCGCGAUUAGAGCGGCCGAUGCCUGAUUAGCUUGUUGGUGGGGUAAAAGCCCACCAAGGCGACGAUCAGUAGCUGGUCUGAGAGGACGAUCAGCAACACUGGGACUGAGACACGGCCCAGACUCCUACGGGAGGCAGCAGUGGGGAAUUUUGGACAAUGGGGGCAACCCUGAUCCAGCAAUGCCGCGUAAGUGAAGAAGGCCUUCGGGUUGUAAAGCUCUUUUGUCGGGGAAGAAACACCGGCUCUAACACAGUCCGGGAAUGACGGUACCUGAAGAAUAAGCACCGGCUAACUACGUGCCAGCAGCCGCCGUAA
rnacentral:rRNA from 1 species